GAUGAACGCUAGCUACAGGCUUAACACAUGCAAGUCGAGGGGAAACGAUAGAGAAAGCUUGCUUUUUCUAGGCGUCGACCGGCGCACGGGUGAGGAACGCGUAUCCAACCUGCCCAUCACUUGGGGAUAACCUUGCGAAAGUAAGACUAAUACCCAAUGACGUCUCUAGAAGACAUCUGAAAGAGAUUAAAGAUUUAUCGGUGAUGGAUGGGGAUGCGUCUGAUUAGCUUGUUGGCGGGGUAACGGCCCACCAAGGCAACGAUCAGUAGGGGUUCUGAGAGGAAGGUCCCCCACAUUGGAACUGAGACACGGUCCAAACUCCUACGGGAGGCAGCGGUGAGGAAUAUUGGUCAAUGGGCGAGAGCCUGAACCAGCCAAGUAGCGUGCAGGAUGACGGCCCUAUGGGUCGUAAACUGCUUUUAUAAGGGAAUAAAGUGAGUCUCGUGAGACUUUUUGCAUGUACCUUAUGAAUAAGGACCGGCUAAUUCCGUGCCAGCCGCCGCAGUAA
rnacentral:rRNA from 1 species